UACGGGGGGAGCAAGCGUUGUUCGGAUUUACUGGGCGUAAAGGGCGGGUAGGCGGCCACCGCAAGUCAGUUGUGAAAUCUCUGGGCUUAACCCAGAAAGGUCAACUGAUACUGCGGGGCUAGAGUGCAGAAGGGGCAACUGGAAUUCUCGGUGUAGCGGUGAAAUGCGUAGAUAUCGAGAGGAACACCUGCGGCGAAGGCGGGUUGCUGGGCUGACACUGACGCUGAACUGCGAAAGCUAGGGGAGCGAACGGG
rnacentral:rRNA from 1 species